ACUUUUUCUUGUCUAGGUGUCGGAAAAGGUAACAGAAGAUGGAACUCGAAAUCCCAAUGAAAAACCUACCCAGCAAAGAAGCAUAGCUUUUAGCUGUAAUAAUUCUGUAGCAAAGCCAAUACAAAAAUCAGCUAAAGCUGCCACAGAAGAGACAUCUUCAAGAUCACCAAAAAUAGAUCAGAAAAAAAGUCCAUAUGGACUGUGGAUACCUAUCUGAAAGAAGAAAACUAAUGGCUAAGUUUGCAUGAAAACUGCACUUUAUUGCAAAUAUGAGAGAUAGCACAGAUGGACCAAAGGUUAUGCACAGGUGGGAGUCUUUUGUAUAUAGUUGUAAAUAUUGUCUUGGUUAUGUAAAAAUGAAAUUUUUUAGACACAGUAAUUGAACUAUAU
rnacentral:sRNA from 1 species